GUAAUUAUUAAGUUUUUCAGACGCUGACUGCAACUGCAAAUGGUUUAAAUUGUCCUAACGGCAGGCGGACCUGCCGAGGAAACGUGUAGUACGCAAAAGACAUGGGUAAGAGAUGGUAGACAGAAGCCUACAACUCUCGGUAAUGAUCCUUCCGCAGGUUCACCUACGGAAA
rnacentral:misc_RNA from 1 species